rnacentral:rRNA from 1 species
CUGGCGGCAUGCUUUACACAUGCAAGUCGAACGGCAGCGGGGAAGUGCUUGCACUUCUGCCGGCGAGUGGCGAACGGGUGAGUAAUAUAUUGGAACGUACCGAGUAGCGGGGGAUAACUGUCCGAAAGGAUGGCUAAUACCGCAUACGCUCUGAGGAGGAAAGCUGGGGACCUUCGGGCCUGGCACUAUUCGAGCGGCCAAUAUCUGAUUAGCUAGUUGGUGGGGUAAGAGCCCACCAAGGCGACGAUCAAUAGCGGGUCUGAGAGGAUGAUCCGCCACACUGGAACUGAGACACGGUCCAAACUCCUACGGGAGGCAGCAGUGGGGAAUUUUGGACAAUGGGGGCAACCCUGAUCCAACCAUGCCGGGUGUCUGAAGAAGGCCUUCGGGUUGUAAAGUACUUUUGUUGGGGAAGAAAAGCCUGGCGUUAAUAGC